CAGGCCUAACACAUGCAAGUCGAGCGGAGAUGAGGUGCUUGCACCUUAUCUUAGCGGCGGACGGGUGAGUAAUACUUAGGAAUCUGCCUAUUAGUGGGGGACAACAUUUCGAAAGGGAUGCUAAUACCGCAUACGCCCUACGGGGGAAAGCAGGGGAUCAUUUGACCUUGCGCUAAUAGAUGAGCCUAAGUCGGAUUAGCUAGUUGGUGGGGUAAAGGCCUACCAAGGCGACGAUCUGUAGCGGGUCUGAGAGGAUGAUCCGCCACACUGGGACUGAGACACGGCCCAGACUCCUACGGGAGGCAGCAGUGGGGAAUAUUGGACAAUGGGGGGAACCCUGAUCCAGCCAUGCCGCGUGUGUGAAGAAGGCCUUUUGGUUGUAAAGCACUUUAAGCGAGGA
rnacentral:rRNA from 1 species